GACGAACGCUGGCGGCGUGCCUAAUACAUGCAAGUAGAACGCUGAAGGAGGAGCUUGCUUCUCUGGAUGAGUUGCGAACGGGUGAGUAACGCGUAGGUAACCUGCCUGGUAGCGGGGGAUAACUAUUGGAAACGAUAGCUAAUACCGCAUAAUAGUAGAUGUUGCAUGACAUUUGCUUAAAAGGUGCAAUUGCAUCACUACCAGAUGGACCUGCGUUGUAUUAGCUAGUUGGUGAGGUAACGGCUCACCAAGGCGACGAUACAUAGCCGACCUGAGAGGGUGAUCGGCCACACUGGGACUGAGACACGGCCCAGACUCCUACGGGAGGCAGCAGUAGGGAAUCUUCGGCAAUAGACGGAAGUCUGACCGAGCAACGCCGCGUGAGUGAAGAAGGUUUUCGGAUCGUAAAGCCCUGUUGUAAGAGAAGAACGAGUGUGAGAGUGGAAAGUUCACACUGUGACGGUAUCUUACCAGAAAGGGACGGCUAACUACGUG
rnacentral:rRNA from 1 species